GGGAAGGGGUUCCCAACUGGCGGGGGCGGGGGCCUGCGGGGAGUGGGGAGCCCGCCCUGGCUGGGGGAGGGAACCCCCGGCCAGCGGUGGGCGUGGGGCGGCUGCGGAGGUCCCGGGCCUGCGGAGGGCAGGGCGUCCCUGUGCGCGACCCACCCCAGGCAGCGGCGCCCGGCGGCAGGUCGUCCCCACGCGCAGAGCCCUGCGGCGCCGCAGGGUGGGGAUCCCGCGGGUGCCGAAGGGCGCGUCCCCCCGCCCCGGGCCGCCGCGGGGCUCGCCCAGCCCAGGGUCCCGCCCCCGCGGUGUGGCCGGCGGCGGUCCUGCGGUGUGGACGGCGGCCCGCCGGAGAACCAGCCUCAACCUGAUCCCCAGCGCGUCUAAGCGAGGGAUGAAUGACCCACAGCACCGGCUGUGUCCUGGGGGCCAGGUGGCAGCAACCAUCUGUUAAUAGCAGCACUAAGUGGAUGGGUGAAUGGGUGUCAGGUGAGGUUUAAUCUGGAAUGCCUCAGAGACCCCACUGCUCUUCCCUGGCCUUUAGUGGAUUAACGGUCUGAAGCUCUGGGCGUGGAUAAACUAGAACAGUCUCCAUCCACAUUUAUCCCCUCUUUGCUCACCUGAUAGCUUUCUCGACCCUCAGCAGUCAGCUCCUCUUGCUCAGCAGCCUGCUGGAGACACCACAGGUAUCCUACCUACAAGGACGACCUUUGCCAUUGUCCUCAUCCUCACACCAACCCAGCCCCCUUAGAGCCCUCCACACCGCCAGUGUCCCCGCCCAGCCCCUGCCAGGCAUCAGCCUCUGGCAUCAGCCUUUGUGUGCAGAUGAAGCUGUCUGGGCUGCCUUUGUCCUGGGAGGGACUGGGAUUUUGAUCACUAAUUAGUGGCUGGCAAAUCAGGAGUUAGCCUUCGUCCCCUUUCCAGGACCCACAGGUAAUUCUUAUGUGGGAAACAAGGGCAAAAGAAAAAAAAUGAAAUUUCCUUACUGCCUACAGCCCACUGGCGUGUCCUUGAAACAGGCUGAGUGACCUCUACCCCCCAAGAUAAACGUUAGCAAUCCUCUUCCAAGCAUGUGACCCAUCUGAAAGUUCUCAUGACUAAGUUUUUACUAAACUAAUAAGCAACCUUUUCCUAAUGACAGCUAGGCCCUGCAGGAUCCUGGAAACCUCUUUUCCAAAAUACCUCCCCCUGACCCCCUCCCAACUUGAAAGCAUCUAAUGGGCCACUCCUCAUGACCCCGGUGCCCCUCUUCCUGCCCACAAGUCCUGUCCUGGUGCUUUAAUAAAACCACCUUUUGCACCAAAGAUGUCUGAAGAAUGUUUUCUUGGCCAUGGGCUCCAAACCCCAACACUUCAAACCACAUCAAUACCACAAGGGUUCCUGCCCCCAUUUCCUGCCUGGGAAUUAGGGUGAUCCCUGCCAGCCCAACCUCCCACCAUGUGGAUAAGAUGGGCAGAGGCUCCCAGACAGCAGUGAACUGAGACUGUGAUUCGCAUUUGCUCUACCCUGUUUUUUAUUUCUGUGAACUCACCUAAUGUAAUACUUAGGCUGUCCUUUUCUUCCUGGAAUACCUACCCUACCCUAGCUUUACUGCCUUUUUUAUAGAAUUGUUAAUUUUUCGAUAGACUCAUAAAAUGAAAUUCAAAGGGUACAAAAGAGCAUACAGUUUCCCUCCUUCUUACCCAGGGACAAGCUCUUCCAAUCCUCACAAUCAGCAGCUUCCUGUGCAUCUUUUUCAGAAAUAAUCCACACGUUUACAAAAUGUGCAUCAUUUCUUUUAACUGUGUUUUUGAUGUCUUUUGUAUUAACACCUAAAAAAGUAUACUUUUAUGCUUUGAAAAAAAAUCACAGUUUCAAAAUGGAGCACUAAGAUUCUCAAUGUGGAGCUUGUAUCCUGCAGUCUAAGCCUUCUCAGUCAGAUGGGGCCACAGCAGGAGCUGUCCACCUCCAGUAGAGACCGACGUGCUUUCCCAGUCUCCUCUGGGUCCAGAACAAAAAAUACAGGAGGAUGCGCAACCUACAAGAUGUGGUUAGACUUAAACGAAUCAGGAUAGGAAGGGCUGCUGGAAUCCCAGAACCCCCUGGGAUGGUCCAUCUGAUGAAACCGUAACCAGAGAUCCUAACCAAACAAGAGCGGCUUUCUCUUUCUCAAGAUUAAUUUUUCCAUGUUUCUGGUGAGGGUGUUUUAAUAUCAGCACUUGUUUACAAAGAUGUCCAAAUCUCAGGUUUCUUUAGCAACUUUACAUCUUUUAAACACUAAUUGCUUCCCAGAAGUGAACUGAAGUAACUACCUAUAAAAUACUACUAGUGUUGCUCCGGUGACCAGCCAGGCUCCACUCAGGUGCAUGGCCGCGGGCAAAUCACAUCCUACGCAGACACUGAGCAGCAGACACUGUGCCUCCGAAGCUCUCCUUUCCUCGGUGGGAGUUCCUGGCUUAGGAUUUUUUUUCCCUUCCAUCCUUUGGUGGAGGCACUGGUCACCAGGAGGAAGAGAAGAUGGAAGCAGUGUAGAUUAAAGGAAGUCAUGUCCAAAGUGGUUUUCACCUCCAACUCAUCAUCCACUCAUCAUGCUUCUAUGUUUAACUCCCAACUCAGUUCUACCAUCAGUCUUCCACUUUGUUUCACAAAUCUGAGCAUGGUCUUUUUCAGUGGAUGCCUGUGUCUCUGACUCACUAUAGUGACUUAGUAACCAAGUGUUAAUAUUUCUUGAAUCUACCGCCUUCUUUUCGAUUUCCUACCACCAUCCUAAUGCUUCAGCCACCACUGCGGCUUCAAGUCUUCCACUUCUUAAGUCUUCCAGAGAAAUCUGUACAUACCUCUGAUAGAACUCUUGAUUCCAGUGACAGAAACUGAUGUAAGCAAAAAGUGAAACCACUGCCAGGAGGCUGGCUUCAGGAGUGGCUUGGUAGAGCGACUCAGUGGCCAUCAUGGAGACCCAGGGCCUCCAGUGCACCACUAGGCUCUAUUCUUCAAAAGUUGGCUUCCUCCUCAGGCUACACACAGUGGCAAAAUGGCAGCAGAAGCUCCAGCUCACAUGCUUCCAGCACCAUGUUCUCUAGGAAAGAGCCAGGCCCGAGUUACGUGUUACACACACACACACUGCCCCCUCUGAACCUCACCUACUGAAAGUCAUGGAGGGUUGGAACGGAGCCAGCCGGUGGGAGUAGUGUGAGUGGCCAGCGAGCAACCAAAACACAUCAGAAGCCCACCCUGCAUCCCACCCUGCUAUUCCUCUGCAAAGAAUUCUCAACAGCUCCCUAAGUCCAACAAUCAAAAUCUUGUCAACAUGAUUUGACUUCAGUUGAUACACAAUCGUAAUCACUGUGGAGCUUUUUCAUUCUGUUUGCACCAGUCAUCUUGAGUAAGAGUUCAAACUAUUAAAAAAAGAUUGUAAGUAAUCUCUCCACCCAGCAGGAGGCUCGAACUUCCAACCCGAGAUGGAGAGUCAUUAUGCUUUACCAAUUGAGCCAGCUGGCGCCACCAGAGUUGAAUUUUAAAAUAGACCAUUUGGAUUUGUCUCCACUUGCAAGGGAAGGUGAGCAGCCUGUGCCCCUGGGAGCCCGGGAGCGGAAUUGGGCGGGGGGGGGGCGGGGGGGGACAGACCCCGCCCCUUAGUUUAAGGGCCUAAAAGCUGGUGUAGUGAGUCGGUGGAGCAGGUGGUGGCCUGAGGCCAGCAGGGGCGCGCAGACAGUGUCUGCAGCAAGGGGAGCCGGGUCUGCGAGCCCCAGAAGGGGCCCUGGGGACUUGAUACCCCCCGCAGUGCCCGCCGUCCCCGGGGCCUCGGACGCUCCCCUGGGCUCCCGGCGGAGGGGAUGAGGCAGGGCCCAGGAGUGGGGGAAGCAACCCCCAAACUGGGAACAGUGGCCACUGCUGGGGUGAUGCUGCCUGGACCCAGCAAGCGCCCGGGCCGCCGGCGCCCCCUGUCGGCAGAGCCCAGUAGGGCGGCCGCCCCGGAGC
rnacentral:lncRNA from 1 species